CUCUGCUCAGUGUGACAGCAACAGGACCUAAGAGAAUGGCAUGGAGCUGCGUUGGGAUGGGUCAGGCUGGGAUUUAGGAAAAGGUUUUUCACCAGAGGGUGACUGGGUGCUGAAACAGGCUGCUCAGGGCAGUGGUCACAGCCUAAAGCCAGAGUUCAAGAAGCAUUUGGACAAUGUUCUCAGAAAUGUGGUCUAAAUUUUGGGUGGUCCUGUGUGGAGCCAGGAGUUGGACUCAGUAAUCCUUGCGGGUCCCUUCCAAUCCUGGAUAUUUUAUGAUUUUAGAUAUUUUCCCAGCAUGACACUAGGCUACAUUACAAGAAGGCUUCAGCUGGGUGUCUUCAGAUUGUAAAGUCAGUUAAGGUAGUGUUGGAAGAUCGAAAUAGUUGGAAGGAGCUGAACUACUGAUGGUCUCUCUUAUCCUUUCAGUAGGGAGCAGAGUAUGGGAUGAUUGUCAGCUGGACUGAGCCAGAUUUUAAUGCAUUUAUGUGGUGAUUGGGGGGACUGUGGGAGCAAGCCAGAAACCCACAUUACUUGUAGCACAGGUUCUCUGGGCCCUGGGUGCUUUGGGGUUCUCUGGGGAGUGGACAGAGCUCUGUAAGGGCAAGGAAACAGGAUCACUUGGGAAGUGGGAGUGCCUGCACAGCCAUAAGGUCAUGGGGCUGCCCAUGGCCAUCUGCUCUCUUGCCUGACCUGUUUGGCUCCCUUUGUUCAAAGUGAGCAUGAGUAGCAGCCGUGCCCUGCUCUCUGCCAGGCCAUGCAGGUGCUGCUCCAAAACCUUGACUGGAGAAAGAAUUAUGCAUUUACGGAAAGUCUUCUUCCCUCCCUUUCCUUUCCCUUUUAAGGCUCUUGGCCAAGCUAUGUGAUUCUUAUCUGGUCUCUGCAGAGCCUUUAAAUGAGGUCAUUCAGGAAGUUUAAUUAAUCCUGUGCAAUUGUCGCUACAUCCUUGGCUGCGCAUUGUGCUCGGGCCCAGCCCACUGCUACAAUACAGUUUGCGACAGCUGAACAUCUGUUAAAAAACUGAUUGCCAAGAAGUGCUUGCUAAGACUGGUUUUCCUUCUGCCUGCAUGUAUGUAUCUCAGUACAAUGUUGUGUAACGGCGUUAAGAGAAAAAGCAGAAUUUCCCUCUGCUCUUGGGAUCGACUCGUGAAGCAAACUAGAAUUAUCUGGGAAAUGAUGGUUCUGAAAUACCCAUGACAAGGAGACAAGCUUGCUUCCAUAUGUCCCAUUCAGCUCAUUUCUAAGGCUGGUGCCUUAUUUGAGUUGCUAUUUGCAAUGGUAGACAAGUACUGGAUCUGUGUGACUGAGACCUUGCAGACCUGGCAUAGCUGUACUGGUUUGAGAAUGACAGAGCCCCUUGUCUCCAGCACAAACCAGAGCUGUGCCAGCCAUGAUGUUCCCUGGCUAGUUUGGCAUGUGUGAUGAAUAAUGGAUGGGAAGAGCUAGGAUAGUAAAGGAGACUCUGAGUGUUUCGAGGUAAUAACCUGUGCUUCCAGUUUCCUGAGUGGUGCUACAUUUUGGUUCAGUAAUGAAAUCCAUUUUUCAUAGUUCGGCCUUUUUGAGUUGUCUGAUUGGUUUAACUCUUUGCAUUUAAAAGCAAAUAGUGGUUUUUGCUUUCUUUGAGGUUUUUGCAGAGUGAUUACACAGAUGGAUGAACAGCGAGGUGUAUUUCUGUGCGCAUAGCAUCUUCAGGAUUAUGAAUCCAGGCAUACUCAGAUAUAGCUUUGUAUGGGGCCAGUCAUUUAUUCAUGAGUCAGCAUAAUGGUUUAACUUAACUUCCUCAUUGUCCAAUAUUGGGCUGUCCUUUCUUGGUGCUACUGAAUAACAGAACUUAAAAUUUGCAACUUAUUAACUUUCUUAAUUUAUGUGUACGUAUUGUAAAUAUAGGCAAGUUGUAAGUGGUAAAUGGUUGAAGUAACCUGCAAUAUAUAAAGGUAGUGCUCAUAAUUAUGGUGUUUUUGCCACCUCAGAAGAACUGAGAUCUGUACUGACUUCAUUCACAGUUGCAUACAGUGCAGAACUGUCAGGGAGCUGAGCUUUCAGAUCGCUGUCUGUCUGCAUAAGCAAAGUGGAUGCCUGAGGAGGUGCCCUCAGGUGAAUUGCACAGCUGGUUUCUGCAGCAUAGAGUCACAAUUGUAUGAGCAGAGUCUGCUGAUGGGGAUGCUGUGUUUACAGGCAGGAGGAAUCUGUUUGCACUCUCACAGCAUCUCUCUGGGGGACAAAACCAAGCUCAUCAUCCCUCUAUGGAUGCCUUACUUAUUUUGGGCUUCAGACAUCCUACUGUAUGGACAGCUUCACACAAUUUUUUGGCUAGGAAACAUGUGAAAGCAAACUUGAAGGAGGGCGUAAAUACUAAGGAGGAUUAGAGGUGAUAUGUAACAUUAUCUUUCAAGGAGGAUUUAUUGAUGGCUUUCUAGACAGUAUUAUUCUGUCUAUAUUCUUCUCUAUAAAAUCCUCUCAAGUACACUUAUGAGACUGUAUGGGUUGCAUUUUAGGGUGUUUAUCCUUCUUAUUUUUGACACUGGCACACAUGUGACUAACUCUGAUUUUUGUGAAGAACUGUUUAGAGCUGAUAUAGUUGGUUAUGCUUUCUUCAUAGAGUAAUAGCUCCCCUGUUGUCCAUACCUCUACUAUGUAGCAAUUCUGGCAUUUUCAUGUUCCAUGCUUCUCGGAGCUGCUAAGCUUUCUUCUUUCUGAGUAUAAUGUAUAGUUUUAUAGUUUGUGAGAAGAUAGUAAACAGGGGAGAACUGCUUUCUGUGGGUGUAAUACGCCUCUUAUUUGUAUCAGAAAAUUUGAUUUCGUCUGACAAGGGGUAGAAUUUGAAGUCUGAGGCAGAUGGAAAAAGCGAUGUUUUUAAAGUUUAGGGAUCAAAUUCUGUUUUGACCUUGGAUCUCUCCUUUAUUCAGAUCUCAUGGUUCAAGCCAAAGGGAUUGUAAUGGAACAAAUACAGAAUAUACCCCCCUACCUCUGAAAUAAAUAACAGCUGGCACUGAUACGUAGAGUACCAUAUCACUUCAGAGGGCUUAGCAGAGACAUUAACUAAUUAAUCCAGUAGUGCUUUUACUUAAUGAGGUCUGAGUACCAGCAUGCUCACAGAAGAUGUCUGUUCUCAAAGCUGCCCUCAGAAGAAUACUGCAUUUUGUUUGGAGCACCACAUAUAGUAGUGCUUUAUUGAUUACUGCUUUUCUCCUACAGUGCCGUAGGGUUUGCAUGUAACAACAUGCUGGAAAACCAGCUUUGUGCUGUACAGUGUUAAGUGGCAAAAUACAAUAUGCUAGUAGGGGAACUUUACAUUUAAAUGGAGUUGAAAAUUCUGUGAAUCCUUACAGAAAUGAGGGAAAAAAAAAAAAAAAAAAGGAUGCCACUAAGAAAAACAUCAGUCCUGUGAAAAGUUAUGAGGUCUCAGGUGAGAUCAGUUUGUUGCACUACGUCAGGUAUGUCAGCUUGGCAUCUUGUCUGCUUGAAAUUUGGCUUGAUUUAGCCUAGCUUUUGUUCCAGGCUGGGUUUUUGUCCCUGUUUGGUGCUGCCCAGGCUUGAAGUGUUUGCUCUUUCCUGCACACAAAUCUUCUCAGCUCUGAAAAUCCCCAUCCAUGCCUUCCUGCUUGGAAGAGAGCUUUUUUCUGUUUGUAGCUUCAGACUUCAGCAGUCUCCUCCAAGCUACUUGAGAGCAAGAUGGAUGGCAACUUUUCACCAGACAAGUUAAAUGGCACAUCAGAUCAGCUGGGAUCCUGUUCAUUUAGCAGUUGAGGGUUGGUUUAUGAGGUUGAAGUGCCACUGACACACCUCAUGAUUUAUAGUUAUAAAAGUGUUUUUUUCUUUUCCGUCAUGGAACUGCUAAACCUUUUAGAGGCUUUAUAAAUGUGUAAUUUGGGGGGAGAUUGAUUAGAAAUGUUUCUGGAUGUAAGCAGCAUCACAUCUUCUGAAACUAUAUUAGCUGAUUACUGAUUACAUAUUUUGCUUAUUUCCUCUGGUCUCUCAUGUAGUGAAACCUCUAGAGAAAUUCUCAGAUACACAAAAUGUGUUGUCAGGUCUUGUUUUGACUUGAACAGCUUUGUUUUUAUUUUAUGGUUUUAGCAUUUGCCCUCGGUGACUUAGCGCCCAAGUUUACAGGAUGCAACAGGUCUUAAUUUCUCUCCCUAAUCCCUACUUCUUUUUGCUUGUUUGACAAUGAAUUUUUGCUGACUAAAUGUCAGUUCACAGUCACAUGCACCAGAAGAAGAAGAGGGGGGAAGAGCUGCUGCCUUUACAGUACAGGGCAGGGGGCAUUACUUGGUGUGCCAGGCCGCGUGCAGCCUGUGAGGUGCAGGUUGGACGUGCCCAAAGUCACAUACCCAUUUCUGCUAGCCUAACCUUCAUACCUCCUAGCCCUACUGGCUACCGUUUAUUUUGCCAUAAUUGCUCAAGGUGUGUUAGGAAUGAGAUUUCCAAAUGAAUAUUUGAAUGUAAGCGAACUUUGAAAGACACUGCUUCAUUUGCAUGUAUGGAGAGCUGUGCCUCCUGCCCCUUCAAACCACAGUCACCACCAACCAGAGGGCAGUGUUUCCCUGAUGAGCACACCUUUUUUGCAGGGUUGUGUGUUGGACAUGAGAACUGCCUAAACUGCUUAGCAUAAACAUAGUUUAAACCUUUGUGAGAGCUGUGGGUCCUUCCUCAUCUCUGUGCCAAAGGCCUUGAGAAGUUUUAAGGCAGCCCCAGUCUUGUACUCCGUGACCUGCCUUGGGAAGGAAGCAAAUUCCCGCCUGCUCUGCCCUCAUCCGGUUUGGAGCCAAAGAUGUCACUUCACCACAAAAGGAGAGAGGAAGGAGGAAGGGGGAAUGACCUCACUGGGCCACGGCAUAGAGCACAAAGGAUACGGGAACAGUUGGAAACGAGUUCAUGCUCUGGGAACUUCCCCAGCAUUUCUGAAGGCAUCGUCACUAUCUGCAACCAACCAGGCAACCUCCUGCCUGACACCCUUGUCUGCAUCCACUUACCCACCCGUGAGACUUCCAUGGACUAGUACCAGCUGCCUUUGCUGCCUCCUCCACGUGCACAGCCUUUGCUGUGACUGCGGGUGGUCAGGUGCCACUCAGGGUCUUUGGGAGCAGUUUGGGAUAUGACUAAGUCUUGGGGUAGUCACAGGUCUACCUACCUUGACUACUAAGAAAUGAAUGCUAGACUUAAAACAUUCAAUUUUUUUAAAGAACUUUCAAUCUGCUUUUAAUGUAGGAAAAAAAGAAAGGUUUGGUUUUGGUAUAGAUGUUAUCAGAACAAUAGGCUCUACAUCCAAAGGAAUUAGAAUCAAACAGCUAAUGGGUGAGCUACAGGCACAUGUAUGUGCUUUAGAUGUAAAGGAGAAUCAUCCUUUUGGAUACUUGCUGCCUAUUUCACACCUAUGGAUCUCCCAGUUUCCUUGAUUCUGUUAAACUUCCCUAGGGGUGUGAAUGUUGGCGGGCUAUAAGGUGUGCAAACACAAGAGAUGAGCUCAGUUUUAACUGGGGGGACAAGGAAUGGGAAACAAAAUUACCUUUUUUUCUUUUUCUCUACAGUAGUGAGCAGGUUUGGGUUUUAUUUUACCGGAACUAAUUAACUAGGAUAAUUGGAGGCUGAUUUGAGGUUGUCCUGCUUAUUCAUUAGUCAGCUGAUGGGAAUAAGAGCAGGGAGCCCAGGGAGCGGAAAGUCUUAUCAAAUUCUUUUGUAACAUCUCAAUUGGCCUGUCUCUAGCAGUGUGCAACAAAGUACAAUGACAGUAAGUAUGAAGAAAUAUGGUUGAUAAUCAAAGAAUCAUUUGUAGUCAUUUACAAAUUGCAGUUACUAAAUUUCUGGGAGUAGAGGGUCUGGCUUCUGUAAAUACUUAGAUAAAUUUAAGCACAGAUUCCAAGCAAUUUUUAUACUAUGAGACUGGAUACCUUAACUUGCAAUACUAGAGCUGCCUUUUUUCUUCCUCUAUCCCAACCCUUCCUUGCUGCAGAGGAAAAUUCUGUUUGAAGUCUCUGGACACGGGGCUUCAAAGAAAAAUUAUAACCUUAAACAUAAGUUCCUAUAACUUGAAUAGCCCUGUGUCUUCUCAAGGUGAUGAAUUCUAAUGCUAUUAUCACUAAAAGGAUGAUAAAAAAUAAUAAUGAGCUGUCACUCUCAUCAGCUCUUUUAGGGGAGUGAUGAAAUAAAUUGCAGAGUGAAGCAGUUAAAAAUUGAAGUGAGAAUACAUUUAUUAGUUUUUUAAAAUCAAUGCAUGCUCCAGAAAUGAGCAGCAAUAGGUCACGUAUUUUGGACUGAGAGCUCUUCUGAUAGAUUUCUAACCCUACUGAAUUGGAAUUUAAAUGUGAACAUGUCCGUGUCAGGCUCCAAUAGGUGCUGGUAACAGCUGUAAAGGAAUUGUUAAUGCUUGUCUUCAAACAUAAUAAAGAAUAUUCAGUAUUUUCCUAAACACUGAUGCAGAUCCUCCGUGGUUUGAUCCAUUGUCUAUUGAGGCUUCUCCUAAGUAGUGAUGGAGAAAGUCAAAACAAAUGCUCGAAGGCAUUCAUUCAUCAGCAAAAAUAUUUGGAGCAUAAGAAUCUUUUUCUAAGUUAAACCUAUUUCUAUCAAUAAGUGCUUUGAGGCUGCUCUUUUUUUCUAUUUUAAUCUCUAUACCAGAUUUUCCACUUAGAUUGUGUUAAAAGAUGGAAUUUUAUGUAGCCUUUCUCCUGGUCACAUUACUCUCUCCGUCAUCUUGUCUGACUUACAUGUAAGGUUGUAUACACUGGGCACCAGAAACCCUAUAUUUUGCUUCCAAUUUUGUUUAAGUCUCUGUUUAGUUGUGUUGAAAAUUCACAGAACCUCUAGAGAACUCCUGUGUUCUGGACUCUAUAUUUACAUUUGAAUGAAGGUAAAAUUGCAUGGGAAAUACUCAGGAAAAUAUGGCAUUUUCUAUGGCAGAGAAAAUGCCUUCGUCUGCUAGCUGCAGAAUCCCUGAUUAUUCUGUACUUUCCAUCUCUUUCUUUAGAGAUAUUAUCUGUGCUUAUAUAGCAUAUCUGUAGUAAGCUCCAGUCAGUGAUUUAUUCCCCACUAACUAUCAAAAAGGAAAGAUUAUAACAAGGUGCUGAUUGCUGAACUGUCCUGUUUGCUUCAUUACUGUGGUUUUGGAGAAAGCUGGGGGAGAAAGCCUGGGCGUAGGUGGCCUCAGGGUUGAUGCUCUUAAAAACAUCCUGGAAUGGAUAAAGGAGAGAGAGGGACUUUCAGUGCAGUUGGAAUUGGGUACAUACCCUGGCAAUAAGCUGUUGGUGCAGAUGGGUUUUCUGGGCUUUAGCACCUGUAGGACAUGCUUUCUUCAGCCUGAGAGGCCAGCAUGUGCUCCCAGCUCUCUCCUUGGAGCAAGCCAUGGUGCUGGCAAAAGGCUUGGAGGGGGUGCAAAGGAGAAAGCUCCUUCACAAGAUCUGCUAUCUGGCUGAUUGCAUGUAUACCUAUUUUUGCCAGCUCAGUGACUGCCUCAGUGCAGGCAUAAAACUAUAACUUGGGACCACAGUUGAAAGCCCAACUGCAGUAGUCUGUGUGGUGUUUCACCCUGAAGAUAUUUAGUAUUACUGAGAAAUAUUUACAGAAGCCACAGGGCCUCAGUUACCUAGGAAGAGGAGAACACUGGUGUUUUUUAUCAGAUGGCAAAUACUAAAGUGUGAAGAAAGGGUUUCAGGUUGUGCCAGAUAAGGUUUAGAUUGGACAUUAAGAAGAAUGUCUUCACUAAGAGGGUAGUGAAGCACUGGACUGGGCUGUCCAAAGAAGUGGUAGAGUCCUCAUUCCUGGAGGUGUUUAAGAAGUGGAUGUGGAAAUAAGGGAUGUGGUUUAGUGACAGGUAGGUUAGGUGGAUGGCUGGACUUGACCAUUCUGAAUGUCUUUUCUGGCCUAGAUGACUCUGAUUCUAUGUACAUAGGGCAUGAUUUCAACCCUGCUGAGCUACUGCAAGUAGAGAGAGGGAGUAGGUUUGUGGAGGAUUGUGUCAACACAAAUUGUGCCCACUGAAGGAUGAGGAGAGCCUCUGUUUGUUGCCAGCAUGGAUGAAUACAGGAGCUUUUCAGCUGCCAUCUGCUGAAGGUAGAAAUCUCAAUUUCGUUACCUUCGUGCUCACACCCCAGUGGUUCAAAAUCUGCUUCCCUAUGUGGACUUGAGUUUCUCCUCAGCGUGCAGUGGCCUGGAAAUAAAAAAGCAGCCAAUGGUAUUUCUUACUUCUAUGCAAAUUAACUACCUGAUUUUGCAGAUGCUCUCCAAGGCUAAAUUCUGAUGUUAAACCAAGGAAUGUGGGGGCAGAAGGCAAGAUCUUCUCUUUGGGCCUGGGGAGGUGGGAGAAGUGCUGUGUAAUGAGCCGAUGGAACAGUUCCCACAGUGUGGGUAGCCAUGGAGGGAAGAGGAGCCUGCUGAGUUUUUGACAGCUAUUUUGGGAACUGGCUGUUAUUUUAGUUGUCUUUAGCACAGCCCUGCCUCCCGUCUUGAACGAUCUGUUCCUUCACAACAGAAGGAGGAAGGGAUUGCUCUGCCUGGUAUGAAAAAUAUAUUUGAUACUAAGCUUUUUGGAGAUGAUAUUUUGAAUAGGGAAAACUACAAUGUAUAAUUUGGCUUAAAAUUAAAAAUGGUGGUUUUAGGUGUAAUUAAUUCUCCCUUUUCUUUGGCAUGAAGAUAUUUAAAUGUAUGUGUCAUCCAACUGGAACUGAUCUGGAGCUGUUCAGAGGAGAUCUACUACUGUUGUGCUGUCUAGCUGAUGCCUAGCAAUGCCUGAAGCCACACAACCCUGUCACAGCAUCAACUUUCCCUCUCUAAACAUGCCUGUUUUCAAACGUUUAUAUAACUGCUGCUUGGAAUUUCCUCCUGGCUGGUCAUCACUUGUCAGAUCUACUGAAACCAUGUCAGUAAAUCAGGAGAAAAAAUUUUUGUGCUGCCUAGAAUGUGACAGAUUUUCUUUGAGUAAUUUAUGUAUUUAUUUAUUUAUUUUAAGAGGAAACUGAAAACAUUUAUAGCUGAAGAUAUUGCCCAGAAAAGCAGUGGAAUCUGUGCCUUUGAAAGUUUUCAGGAUCCGAUGAGGCAAAACUAUGAGAAAUCUCAGCAGGAGGUUGUCUAGGUACCUCCUGAAGUCCAUUCCAACCUCUGUAGUUCUGUGAUUCUAUGAAGUGUGAACGCUGACAGUAUGAUGGUAAUGGAAUUUUGAAAAAAUCCUUAAAAAACACAGCGCUGGGGAUAACAAUACCUCUUCAAGAUUGGCAGUAUGUCAAAUGCUUGAAGUGAGAAGGGUUAUUUAUUUUCAACAUCCACGGCUUGUUGGAAGGAAAUUUUCCUUUGAUGGUAAUGCAGUUCUUCUGUCAAAGAAAUCUCACCAUGUUCUUUAUUAAGUGCACAUUGUAAUACACCUGUAAGAUAUAUUUUUAUCAUUUUAAUCAUGUUCCUUUAAGCUGUGUCUUUUCCUCUGCCCACCCCCUCCAGCAAAGAUUGCAAGGUGUAGUGGAGAUAUCAAGAGAAAUUUUCUCAAUGGAUAGAGUUCUGUGUUUCAGAAGAAUUACAUCUGUGUUUGCCAGGAUUUCAUUAGCCAAAAGCUGUAGUACAUACUGAACAUAGUGAGAUAGCAAAGCAGUGCAUGCACAAUGAUAGGGCUGUUGUGUGAGUAAAAGCAUGGCAACACAUGUCAGUCCUCAUCAGCAAACUAUGUGGCUUGGUUCUGUGGACCACUGGAUUUGAACUAUGUCACCUCUUUCUCAAACACCUUUCUGGAGUGGUGUUUUGUCCUGAGUUGGGUGGAAGAAAUGUCCAAGUUCCUCUGUGUCCGUGUUCUCACUGCAAGAUAUUCUACUGGGUUCUUGGCUCCUGCAUCUUUGUAAAGGUGCUGUCUUUUCAGCAAUGGUGUCUCUUGUUAGUGACUGCUGCUGGAACAGCUGCACUCCAACCUCCGCAAUAAAGACUUUAUUUUUUUGUGCAUGCUCCUGACUUGUCUGCCUGUAAUUAAAAUUGAGCAAGCAGAACAUCAACGUAAGUCUAUGAAUGCCAGCACUGCAGUAUUCAUUUCCCUAUGUGAGGUAAAACAAUAGUUUUGAAUAUGUGAAUCUUCUCCUGUGGUUUGCUUGACAUGGCAUCAGUAUCGGUUUGCUUUUCUGCUGUCUCCUAAUGUGAUUCUGUUCCAUAUGAAGCUAUGGGCUCUGAUCUGAAGAGUAUGGCCCCAGCAGCAGGAAUCUGCAAGACCAGGUAAGGAAUAAACCCCCCAAAUUCUCUUCCUUUCUUCCUUUUCCUCUUUCAUGUGUCUCUUGCCUACCCUCACUAAGAUGAGCAAUGUGCUAUUUCAUGUUGUGCUAUUCUAAUUCUUUAGCUCUUAUAUCACCCACAUCACUACGGUGUCUAACUGUCAGAUGCAAUUUUGCAGGGAGAAGAUUAAAAAAAUGUGAAGUAGAGAAACAGUCCUUCUAGUUGAUAUUCCUCUGGUGAUGGGGGAGAACUUGUUAGCAUUUAAUUUUUGAAGAGCAGUUGGUGUAAAGGUUUUGGGAGGAAUUUUCUAAAUACUUUACUUGAUAAAGCAGCAAUUAUGUGAAGAUGAGAAUGAACAAUGACUGCAGAGAUGACAGACUUUGAUUUCUGACUAAGAAACCCCGCUCAGCAGGCCUGAGUCUUCUAACAUUAAAAAGAGAAUGGCAUCAAUGAAGCAUUGAAAUACAUCUCUCAGGGAGUGGUAGGUACUUGGUAAUGGCCAUCUGCCAAGCACUGCAGAUUAGGAGAUACAUUUUGUUGUUUUCUGAUGUUAGAACAGAAAAGUGUUUUAGUGAACAAGGUUAUAGGAAAAGACAUUCCAGGUAGUGAGCUCAUAAUCUGAUAGAUAAGGAAAUAAAAAGACACGUGGAAGAGCUACUCAUCUAUCAAUUAGUAUGUACAGCAGUCGCUACUUGGCUGUGCAGACAGAGUUUGGGGUAAAUCAGCAUGAGAAAAUGAGAAUGAUUGUGGCAUGAAGCCUCCAAAAAUGGUGUGGAGGUUCUUGGUUAUUUUUCAGAGGAGGAAGCGAGAUUCAGUGAUUUGGCAGUGAGUAGGCAACAAGAAUAAUACAAUUGUAAUUCAAGAUACUCAAUGCCAUUCCCAAAAGCUUUUCUCUUGUUAUAGUAUUCCAGACAAUAUGGACUGAGAAUGAAAACAUCUUUCCUGGCAUUACAAAACUCUUGAUACUAUCAGUAGCAAAUAUAAUACUUCAGGAGCACCUAGAAAGCAUGAGUGAACUUUGUUCUUAGCUGUGUACUUAUGUGCAAGUCUUCACAAGAACAUCUAGUCCUGAUACACUGCACCAAUUGCUUCUGAACUCAGGGUAACAGGCUGAAAUAGAAUAGGAUACAGAAUGUACCUGUGCAGCACGGGAAGAAAUGUAGCAAACUUAACAUGAUAUUGAAAAUACUUUUAUCACUGUUUGUACAUCUAGUUCUCCUUCCUUAAACUUGUAGUUAGAAAACUGAUUAAAUACGAUGACUUCUGAUUCAGACUGAAGGCACUGCAAAGGGAAAACAACAUACAUGAAAAGUGGUAUUAAUUUUUCAGGUUGUAAUAAACUCACUGGCAGACAGAUGCAAAAGACAAUGAUGAAGAAUUAUUAUAAGCUCAACUUAUAUCUCAUAUCUGAUGCCAAGUAAAAACAAAGAAAGCAAUAACUCUGACGCUAAACUAAACUGGGUUAGAAUAUAAGGAAAUGAGGGUUUCUCUCUACCCGGCCCACAAGUCUGUAAUUGGAGUUUGUACCUGAAAAGUAAGUAGAAGGGUGUAUAUGAGGUAGUAUAUGUGUUUAUAAAACUGAAAAAACUCUAAGGAAGGAAGAAACUCUAAGGAAGUGUACAGUAAAGCAAGAGCUGACGGUUGAACAGAGUCAGACUUGCCUGCACAUGGAUAAAAACAAAUAUUUGGAUGAUGGUACUGCAGCUUGUGUAUUAUUAAACAUGCCUACUAUUAAGGAAAAAAAAAAAAUCCCUCUUCCAUGGUAAAAGAAUCUGCUCUUCCCAGGGAAUCCAGCUGAGUUUACCUCAAGGUCUUCCUUGAACCUUGUUAGGGCAGAUUUUUCUGUUACCAUUGUUUGCAGUGAGCAUGGGACAUUAUGUUGUAGAGGGGGUAGACAGCUCCUUUGAAGCCUUCUUUUUGUUGUUUUUGGGCUUGAGGGGUUGCUUUGAAGACUGGUGCUGAGUACGUUUUCCAGCACGUACCCUUGUGAGCUGCAUUGAUCUGAGUUAGUCUUGCCUGGUCUGUAUGAAUGUCAACAACUUAAGAAAAGAAUGAAUCAAUUCUUUUGGCCCUCAGUUGUCUGCACAAGGGCAGGGAACUGCAGGGGUGCCUCCUAUGGGAUAGAGGAUACUGUGCAAGAGGGAGGAUUUACGGCAACAGAGUAGUACUUGUAUAUUCUCUGCCUUGUGGUUAGGGGGGAGCUUUUGUGCAGGUGACAAAUGGCAAGAGGGCUGAGUAACAGGAAGGAACAUUCCUGAUGUCUGAGAGUCCGCUUGUCCAUGGCUGGGAAAAUUGAUACAUGUCCAUAGCGUGUCUCAUGUCAAAUUCCCUGUGUGUCCUCGAGCCAUGACAGCACACCAGUGGGUUGAGGGCACUCUACGAGGUGCUCAUCCAAGGAGGAUGGUCAUGAGUUCCAUUGGGCACUUGUGCUCACUCCCUGGGGGAGGUCUGGCACACAGCUGGGCCCCUGAGCAGCCUGACAAUGCUGACCUUGGCCACCCUUGCUGGCUUACUUCCCACCAUAGCUGGAGACCUCCAGGUUUUGUAGUUCAUACAAAUAUAGCAGAGAGGGCACUAAAACAAUUUCUCUUGCCCUUCUGUAAUUUCCAUAAUUCAUCUGUCCCACAUUCAGCCCAAAUAUCAGGUGUGGUGGGAAGCACGGAACUGUAACCAUAGAAUUAUUUCCUUCUGCCAUUAAAAGAAAUUUUAAUGCACAGCAAGCUCCACUGAAGUGCAAGUGAAGGGCCCAUUUCAUAAAAGAUUUAGGAACCAUCUCAGUGCAUACUUUUGAUUUGUACAGCAGGGAGCUUGCACUUGGGAGGAAAAAGGAGAGGGGGAGAGAAGGAAUUUGCUUUAAAUGACAGCUUUUUUUCUUACUCAUUUUGCAUUCAAAAGCCCAAAUAUAUUUUCUCUCUCUCUACCCUUGAUUUAUGACCUUAUAAAAAUGAGAUAGAAUCAACCUAAGAAGAAACAAAGGUUAGGUCUUCCCAGAGCCUGAAGCCUUUGUAUAAGUCCCUGAAGAACAGCUGUGCAAAUUACAUUUGCUGCUAUCAGACCAAGUGGAGGCAGAGAGCAGUUUCUUUAACGAGAGCUGGACAAGAUUCCAUUUUAUUUUGUCAUUUUGAAUGCGGGUUUGAUUCACAGCCUUUAAUGUUACCUUGCUAAAAAUGGCUAUUGCAGGAGAACUCACAUCAAUGUGAUAUCAGUACAGGCAGAAAGAGAAACAUCCUGUUUAUGUGAAUGUCCCUAACAAAAAGAGUCAAGAUCUAAGCAGAUAGAAGAGAAUGCCAGUAACCAUGAAACAAGCUAUGCGCCAGAUGUUAUGCUGCUUAGAGCAGCAGUACAAGGAGCUGAUCAGAUACCAUGUUGAUAAGCAUAGCUCAUAACCUGUAUAGAAGGGGAACACAGAUGACAUUUGCAUGAUUAAAGAAUUGUGUAGUAGUUCUACAUUAAAUCAUAAAUGAUUUCAUUUUACUUGAUUGUAUGAUUUAAAAGGUUAUGACCUAAGGCUUUCAUUUUCCUUUCUUUAUACACUUAUGUGAAGUAUAUCAGAGUAGAAAUUAAUUUUACUACAUAAAUAGUCACAGAGAUGUUGAAAGGGACUUCUGAAAGUUUCCUGAUCUGAUCUGCUCAGAGUGGGGCUAGCUUCAAUGUUACAUCGGGUUGUUUACAGCUUUCUCUAAUUAAUUUUGAACAUCUCUAUGGAGAUAGCUUUUUAUUUUUCCUGUACAACCUUAUCCAUUGCUUAACCAUCAUUAUAGUGAAGUUGUUUUUCAUUCAUUCAGUCAAAAUUUCCCUUGUCAAUGCUUGCGCCUGUUGCUCUUAUCCCUUCAGCAUUCAUGCUCUUCUUCCCUUGCCAGCAUUCAUAUUCCUAUUCAUAACCAGAUGCCACUUAGACUGGCUGUUGAGUGUUGUCUUUUGAACCCAAUGAUCCAGCUUCACAUCCGCCAUUUGUAUUCUAAUUCACCAGCCUGUAACUUCUCAGUUUGGAUACAAGGAUACUCUGGGAAUCCACGUCAAAACUCAAUUUGAACAACAUCCAUGUAUGCGCAGAAUGUCCAAACAUCCGUUUUACUUGUUUGUUUUUUUUCAGUCAGCAUGGUCUGAUGUUUUCGUCAUUGUCAGAGGUGAGAUUUCUCUUUCAUUUCUGCUAAUUCAGAACUAGGAGUAAAUUCUACUGCUGCUCUUUUCCUCUGUGAUGGAGAUAACUUGGAGGAAGAUAUUCAGGAUUUUCAUAUGGUAACCAGCUCUCUGAGUAAUGAUCAAAUUCUGAUUAUUCAGACUGGUUUCACCUUUGAGACUCCUUGGACCAUAGUUCUUUUUUAUAAAGAGUAAUGCAAGUUUAUUUUUGUUGCUUAAAUCUCCUUUGGAUUGUGAGACAACUUUGAGGAAGCGGAGUGUGAGAAAGACUAAAACCUGAAGAGAAAGAACUGAAGCCAAGACCAGUAAAAGUACACCACUGUGGAUUCCUACAGGGAUAAGACCUGCAUUGUUGCAGCAUUAAAAUUCUAGGAAUCUGCUGAGAUCUGAGGUGGACUACAUGCUCCUAAGACUCACAUUCCAUGACAGGCUUCAUCUCAUAAAAAUGAAUGGUGUCUCUUUAUGGCCUGGCAUGUACCAACAGAAGAUUCUAAGUUACACCAGUGGGACAAUUAAGCCUGCCCUAAGAUGUGAAGUUUUCCUGCAAAAGGUGCCUCGUACCAGCUUGUUGAAACACCAUGGGAAGGCACACCAACCACUUAUUUAUUCUCUCCAUUUCUAAGAGGUUGGAAGAACCAAACAAUGCUAGAAACAGAACCACUGCAAGCCAGUAAGAGUAAUUUACUGCUCUGUCAUUACCAGCAAGCUACUUAUACAUUAACAAAACAUCAAGCCAGUCUUCCUGAAACAGACACAGGUUUGCACAAAUUGGGAAGCAGAAACUCUAACAUCUACUGAAAUAUUUUUCUGUUUGCUUAUUUUUUUCUUCAUGCCUGUUAGGGUUCUUUAGGAGUACUGCUGAGGACAGUGUUUAGAGAUAAGCAUUUGGUUGUAAACAUCUGCCUGUGUCGAUGAGGCCACAUAUAUGUUAAUUUCUCUUAAUUAUUAUCUUAAAGGUUUGAGUGUUAAUUGUGAUGUGUCUUGCUGGGCUAGCUUUCAAGUUAUAUUCUUCACAAAUUGUGUUGCAAAUGAGUAAAAAUGUUAGAAGAAAAGGGAAGAAUUACUAUUGUCUAACCACAACAGUCUAGGCAGACUGCCAUAAGGUUAUUGAAGCUCUAAUUCAAAAAUUAGACUCAGCUACAAAUGUAUUGGUUUAGCCAAGUCCUCCUGUUGGCAGAAUGUCUGUCUUAAAUUUGCUUUGAUACAUGCUGUUGUUUGUGUGGUUAGCUAAAUACAUCAUUAGAUAGCCCAGGAAUUGCUUGUCCAUAAGUUAAUAAGUUUAACAUCAACUUAGUCAAUUAGGCUAAUUUGGUUUAGUGCAUUGUUAGAAAUAGCUUAACCUUUAUAUGACUUCAUAAUUUUAUUUCAUUAAAGUUACAGAUAUAACAUUGUUUACAAUCGUAGUGUAUCCAAGGCUCAGAAAACACUGCAAAUGUUUCACAGUCAGAGUACAAAAAAGGUCUUUUUUUCCAGGGCUUCAGUGAGAAAUAUCAGUAUUUUCUCAUGGGCAAAGAAAAUUUAUCUUACGUUUUUCUUGUGCAUAGGUCCAGAAGAAUGCUAUGCAUUUACUGCUCUGGCUGGUUUUUGCAUGGCUGCUGAUGUGGUUUGUCAGGGACCUGGCCUGUAGGUGUCCUGUCAUAUGGUUCUGGGUGCUCCCAGUUGACCUUUGCACAUUCCAGGCAGCUAAAUACAUGCACGCCCCAGAGCUAGUACUGUUCUGGCAUAGAAGCACACCUGACAAGAUCAAAAAGCAUAAUAUCUUCAGCCUCUGCAGCUGACGCUCUCAGUGACACCCACUCCCCUGUACAAGUAAACAUCCAUAACCCUCAUGGAUGGUCCCUCUCCACUGGGCCAAGCACACUGGUUUGCCUUUCUUUGACUCAUACUGUCUUUCAGAUGUAUCCAGGGUGUUGUAAAACUGAAGAGGCUGAAAAGGUAGGGAGGACAAAGCCCAAUUCUACCUUUCUCCGGGUACUCUGGAUAUCUCAGCAAUGAGAGAGAUGUUCUUGUCACUCACCCAUCUUUCUCCAUCCCUGCUGUCUACUACUUCCUUGAUCAGAUCAUCGCAAAAAUAAUUGAAGGUUUCCUUUGUUUUCUAAUGAAAAAAUAUUAUCCCUUAAGGGCAGCUGAACAGUCAGAGCUUAUGGGGGAAUCCUAGGAGGGCUACUGGAUAGAGAUUUGAGGGCUCAUCAGAGCAGAAUGCUGGACACGAAGUGCCCUUGUGUGGGUCCAUUGAAAAGCCACUUAACAAACCGCAGGCACAUAUUCACCUUGUGAGCACUUGGUCUCCUGGAGGUCACACUGCCUGUGAAUGUUUGCUACUAGCUGCUGUGCAGCAGCACUGCCAGAUGCAGGGGACACAAUCUGUUCCUGACCUUUUGCUGUGGACAAAUGCAAAACGAGGACUGCUCCUACCUUGGCUCUGACUCCUGGACAUCACACAUGUGACCUUAAAGCUACUGCACACAUUGUGGACCUGCAGACUCACUAGAGCAAAGCCUCCAAAUGGCAAAUGAAAAAGCCAUCUGGACUUGUCCGUGGCCCUGUUAACUCUGAUGGAGCUACCUUGGCUGUAGUUAACCACCUCUAACAGGAGGAAAUGUUAUCUUUAAUAAAACCAGAGGAGCUUAUCAAGUCACUGAGCAAACCUAUAGCAUCCCUUGUACAGGCAGAGAUUCUUCUGAAGCCCCAUCAGAAUUCCUGGUCCAGUCAUCUGCCUCACUCUCUCUGUUCGACAGCUGUGCUGCUCUUAUUCAGCAGGAAAAAGCAAAGAUGUUGAAAAGAAAACAAAAAACAGAACACGAUGCAAACAAACCAAAUGAAAGAAAAUGUUUUAAAGCAUUUCAUUACUCACAAGACGGGAGAUGGUCAUGUGUUUCAAACCGUAAUAUUAUUUCUGGCAACCAGUCUCUUGAUAUCUUCUUGUUGAUUUUUCCAACCUCUCAAGAAACUGGAAUGAAAAUAUUUUACUGAUGUUACCAUCCUUGGGAACAGUUUGUCAACACUGACCCAGGUUAACGCUGCAAACUCAAAAUAUUUGGCACGUGCUUUUGUAUUUUUCCUUCGUCAAAGAGAUUAUGUGGGGUGAAGGUCUGUUCACAUGAAAGCAGUGAGAGAUACUGGCAGCGUACUUAGCAAAACAAGAGGGGCCCUUUUCUAAAUACAUGUGCUUAUAUGCAAAUAUCCUUUUGCAGAUGAUAAUAUAAUAAUGAAAAAGUCAUUACUUGCAUAUUAAGGUAGCUGUGUGGAUAUUGUGGGGAUGUAUAUACUGUAGAAACAAGGAUGUGUACAUCACAGUUCUGUAGCAGUUCUGUGACUGGGAGAAUCAAUGGAGCUUGAUUUUCUAUGGAUUUGUGCCCUGAUGUUAUGACCCUAUCCAGAUUUUCCACUGUGUCAUAUGAGAUGCUGCACUUUUUACCUCAGAGAGACACUAACAAUUGCUCCUAGCUGACUGCCUGGUUUCAGAAUACUUUUAAGGAUGUAAGAGGGCUGGAUUUUUAUACCUUUGCCAAAUGCGUUUGAUAUAGGCCUAAGCAUUGGAAGAUUCAUAUAGAGGUCUCAGAUGUACAAAAAGACAGCACAGUGACCUAAACUCAAUUUCUGUAAAAUCAAGAUCUGCAUCCUCACAUUUAUAACUAUGGAAAGGAAAAACAAACAUGAAAUAAAGCAGAAAACAUGAUUUUAAA